rnacentral:rRNA from 1 species
AGAACGAACGCUGGCGGCAUGCCCAAUACAUGCAAGUCGAACGAACACUUCGGUGUUAGUGGCGCACGGGUGCGUAACGCGUGGGAAUCUGCCCUUGGGUUCGGAAUAACAGUUGGAAACGACUGCUAAUACCGGAUGAUAUCGAAAGAUCAAAGAUUUAUCGCCCAGGGAUGAGCCCGCGUAGGAUUAGCUAGUUGGUGAGGUAAAGGCUCACCAAGGCGACGAUCCUUAGCUGGUCUGAGAGGAUGAUCACGCCACACUGGGACUGAGACACGGCCCAGACUCCGUACGGGAGGCAGCAGUAGGGAAUAUGGACAAGUGGGCGCAAGCCUGAUCCGAGCAAGU